AUCUAUGGCCAGGCCACCCUGAACAAGCUCCAUCCUGUCUGAUCUCAGAAGCUAAGCAGGGUCGGGCCUGGUUAGUACUUGGAUGGGAGACCACCUAGAAGACCAGGUGCUGUAGGCG
rnacentral:rRNA from 1 species